rnacentral:rRNA from 1 species
GACAGAGGGUGCAAACGUUUGUUCGGAAUUACUGGGCGUAAAGCGAGUGUAGGCGGUGUGGUAAGUCGGAUGUGAAAGCCCCCGGGCUCAACCCGGGAAGUGCACUCGAUACUGCCACGCUAGAGUAUCGGAGAGGUUGGUGGAAUUCUCGGUGUAGAGGUGAAAUUCGUAGAUAUCGAGAGGAACACCGGUGGCGAAGGCGGCCAACUGGACGAAUACUGACGCUGAGACUCGAAAGCGUGGGGAGCAAACAGG